rnacentral:rRNA from 1 species
AUUGAACGCUGGCGGCAUGCCUAACACAUGCAAGUCGAACGGAAACGAUGGGAGCUUGCUCCCAGGCGUCGAGUGGCGGACGGGUGAGUAACACAUAGGAAUCUGCCCAGUAGCGGGGGACAACUUGGGGAAACUCAAGCUAAUACCGCAUACGCCCUACGGGGGAAAGCGGGGGACCUUCGGGCCUCGCACUAUUGGAUGAGCCUAUGUCAGAUUAGCUUGUUGGUGGGGUAAUGGCCUACCAAGGCGACGAUCUGUAGCUGGUCUGAGAGGACGAUCAGCCACACUGGGACUGAGACACGGCCCAGACUCCUACGGGAGGCAGCAGUGGGGAAUAUUGCACAAUGGGCGAAAGCCUGAUGCAGCAAUGCCGCGUGUGUGAAGAAGGCCUGCGGGUUGUAAAGCACUUUCAGUGGGGAGGAAACAGUUGCGGGUUAAUAUCCCGCGACCUUGACGUUACCCACAGAAGAAGCACCGGCUAACUCUGUG